rnacentral:lncRNA from 13 species
GCCCGGAGCAGGUCCCGCUGCGGCUGCUCCACUGCCCCGCGCGGACGGCGCUCCGCGGGCGGCGACGCUCGGCCGCUUCCCCACGCCGCAGCCACCUGUCGUCUCAGAUCCGUCAUCCAGAACAAAGUUAAACCGAAAUUCAUUUAAAUUCAGUUUAUUAAGUUAUCGCUAUGUCGGGGGGAAAAAUAAAGUGAAAGUACUUUCCAGGGCAAAAUGAGCAUCGUGUGGGGGCCCAAGGGGGGGCUGCUGGUAUCCCAGUGCUCACGCCUUGCUCUGAACCACGCAAAGCAGCCGGCAGGAUGUGGAGCCUUGAGUUAAAGAUUUCUUUGGGGCAAUCGCAAAUAGUGAUAAACAGGACGCAAACUUCUGUGGGAAGAAGCAAAGCCCAAUCCCGCAUGGAAAUGUUGCACUGGUGAUUAUAAUGUCAAUUCUACGAAUUUUAUGCUAAACACUUUUUGUCGCGCUACUUUUCCCUUAGCGAUGUAGACGCCUGAGCGACGCGCCCGAGCUGCGGCCGCAUCCCCGCGGCUGCAGUGGCCCCUGGUGGGUGCGGCGGGAAGGCGCGGGCGGCACAGGGCCGCGGGACGUGGGGCGGGACAGCCGCCUGCGGUGCUCACGCUACCCACCCUCGGCGGCAAACACCGGUGCCAACCUACAGAGAUCCCGCGUGCAAGAGCUUGACGUAGGAAGAAGACCAGGGUGGUGAACGAUCAGCAGCCCAAGGGGUGAAACGAGUCAUCAUGCCUGUUCCCAGAUCGCUCUGUAUGGAGACAGGGGUCGCUGUUAGAUCAGAGGUCAGAAUUGAGGGGAUCUCUUUCUGCUGCUGCUUCAAUGGGUCCAGAAGAGCCAGAGAAGGCAACAGUGAAACAGAACGUUUGGUAAAGGCAACUCAAGAAGAAAUCACACUGACAUCACCAUGAUGAGCGACGUCCAUAAAAAAGGCAGGAUUUGAGCUUUCCCUCUCACAGGGUCUCACCUUAUGAUGUACAAACAGAUUAAAAAAUCAGCUCUUGUGGCUUUGCCCAAGAGUUUGCUGAAAGUUUGCUGUCAGCUCACCAAAAUAAAGGUGCAGUAGGACAAGUUUCCUUGCUUUGCCAGCUCCUGUUGUUUAAUCAGGGGAUUAGGGGACUAAUUAAUAAGAACUGAGUACAAAAGGGAAACACUAUCUUGGUAGACACUCUAGUUUGACUGAGCAAUGGGUUUGGGACUGGAGCAGGCUGAGUUUAUCAACACAUUACAAACACCCUGAUGUGGUCACCAGGGAGCAGUUAUUG